rnacentral:rRNA from 1 species
AUUGAACGCUGGCGGCAUGCCUUACACAUGCAAGUCGAACGGUAACAGGUCUUCGGAUGCUGACGAGUGGCGAACGGGUGAGUAAUACAUCGGAACGUGCCCGAUCGUGGGGGAUAACGAAGCGAAAGCUUUGCUAAUACCGCAUACGAUCUACGGAUGAAAGCAGGGGACCGCAAGGCCUUGCGCGAACGGAGCGGCCGAUGGCAGAUUAGGUAGUUGGUGGGAUAAAAGCUUACCAAGCCGACGAUCUGUAGCUGGUCUGAGAGGACGACCAGCCACACUGGGACUGAGACACGGCCCAGACUCCUACGGGAGGCAGCAGUGGGGAAGUUUGGACAAUGGGCGAAAGCCUGAUCCAGCCAUGCCGCGUGCAGGAUGAAGGCCUGCGGGUUGUAAACUGCUUUUGUACGGAACGAAAAGACUCUGGUUAAUACCUGGGGUCCAUGACGGUACCGUAAGAAUAAGCACCGGCUAACUACGU